UACGAAGGGGGCUAGCGUUGUUCGGAAUCACUGGGCGUAAAGCGCACGUAGGCGGAUUUGUCAGUCAGGGGUGAAAUCCCGGGGCUCAACCUCGGAACUGCCUUUGAUACAGCAAGUCUUGAGUUCGAGAGAGGUGGGUGGAAUUCCUAGUGUAGAGGUGAAAUUCGUAGAUAUUAGGAAGAACACCGGUGGCGAAGGCGGCCCACUGGCUCGAUACUGACGCUGAGGUGCGAAAGCGUGGGGGAGCAAA
rnacentral:rRNA from 1 species